rnacentral:rRNA from 1 species
ACUCCUACGGGAGGCAGCAGUAGGGAAUCUUCGGCAAUGGGGGCAACCCUGACCGAGCAACGCCGCGUGAGUGAAGAAGGUUUUCGGAUCGUAAAACUCUGUUGUUAGAGAAGAACGUUAAGUAGAGUGGAAAAUUACUUAAGUGACGGUAUCUAACCAGAAAGGGACGGCUAACUACGUGCCAGCAGCCGCGGUAAUACGUAGGUCCCAAGCGUUGUCCGGAUUUAUUGGGCGUAAAGCGAGCGCAGGUGGUUUCUUAAGUCUGAUGUAAAAGGCAGUGGCUCAACCAUUGUGUGCAUUGGAAACUGGGAGACUUGAGUGCAGGAGAGGAGAGUGGAAUUCCAUGUGUAGCGGUGAAAUGCGUAGAUAUAUGGAGGAACACCGGAGGCGAAAGCGGCUCUCUGGCCUGUAACUGACACUGAGGCUCGAAAGCGUGGGGAGCAAACAGGAUU